rnacentral:rRNA from 1 species
GACGAACGCUGGCGGCGUGCUUAACACAUGCAAGUCGAACGGUAAGGCCCUUCGGGGUACACGAGUGGCGAACGGGUGAGUAACACGUGGGUGAUCUGCCCUGCACUUCGGGAUAAGCCUGGGAAACUGGGUCUAAUACCGGAUAGGACCACUGCCUGCAUGGGUGGUGGUGGAAAGCUUUUGCGGUGUGGGAUGGGCCCGCGGCCUAUCAGCUUGUUGGUGGGGUGAUGGCCUACCAAGGCGACGACGGGUAGCCGGCCGGAGAGGGUGACCGGCCACACUGGGACUGAGUUACUGCCCAGACUCCUACGGGAGGCAGCAGUGGGGAAUAUUGCCCAAUGGGCGCAAGCCUGAUGCAGCGACGCCGCGUGAGGGAUGACGGCCUUCGGGUUGUAAACCUCUUUCAGCACCGACGAAGCGCAAGUGACGGUAGGUGCAGAAGAAGGACCGGCCAACUACGUGCCAGCAGCCGCCGUAA